CUUAGGGAUCUGCCUUUAGGAGGGGGAUAACCAUUGGAAACGAUGGCUAAUACCGCAUAAUGUCUACGGACCAAAGGGGGCUUCGGCUCUCACCUAGAGAGGAACCUAAGUGAGAUUAGCUAGUUGGUGAGGUAAAGGCUCACCAAGGCGACGAUCUCUAGCUGUUCUGAGAGGAAGAUCAGCCACACUGGAACUGAGACACGGUCCAGACUCCUACGGGAGGCAGCAGUGGGGAAUAUUGCACAAUGGGGGAAACCCUGAUGCAGCCAUGCCGCGUGUGUGAAGAAGGCCUUCGGGUUGUAAAGCACUUUCAGUCGUGAGGAAAGGUUACCGGUUAAUACCCGUUAGCUGUGACGUUAGCGACAGAAGAAGCACCGGCUAACUCCGUGCCAGCAGCCGCGGUAAUACGGAGGGUGCAAGCGUUAAUCGGAAUUACUGGGCGUAAAGCGCACGCAGGCGGUUUGUUAAGCUAGAUGUGAAAGCCCCGGGCUCAACCUGGGACGGUCAUUUAGAACUGGCAGACUAGAGUUUUGGAGAGGGGAGUGGAAUUCCAGGUGUAGCGGUGAAAUGCAUAGAUAUCUGGAGGAACAUCAGUGGCGAAGGCGACUCUCUGGCCAAGAACUGACGCUCAUGUGCGAAAGUGUGGGUAGCGAACAGGAUUAGAUACCCUGGUAGUCCACACUGUAAACGCUGUCUACUAGCUGUUUGUGAAUUUAAUUCGUGAGUAGCGAAGCUAACGCGAUAAGUAGACCGCCUGGGGAGUACGGCCGCAAGGUUAAAACUCAA
rnacentral:rRNA from 1 species